AAUUAACUUUACUCUCUUGUCAACAUACUGUUGCACUCCAUUUGUGGAGGCUCGCGCUGUAUGUCACGUCACUAUAUUCUGACUUGGUGAAAAGAAACAUUUUUUUCUUAAAGGAACACUCCACUUUUUUUGAAAAUAGGCUCAUUUUCCAACUCCCAUAGAGUUAAACAGUUGAGUUUUACAGUUUUCAAAUCCAUUCAGCCGAUCUCCGGGUCUGGCGGUACCACUUUUAGCAUAGCUUAGCAUAGUUCAUUGAAUCUAAUUAGACCGUUAGCAUCUCGCUUAAAAAUGACCAAAGAGUUUCGAUAUUUUUCCUAUUUAAAACUGGACUCUUCUGUAGUUACAUCGUGUACUAAGACCGACGAAAAAUGAAAAGUUGCGAUUUUCUAGGCCAAUAUGGCUAGGAACUAUACUCUCAUUCCGGCGUAAUAAUCAAGGAACUUUGCUGCCGUACCAUGGGUGCAGCAGGCGCAAUGAUAUUACGCAGCGCCUGUGACCCCCUGCUUGCACAGGGAGCGUGCCUUGCAACCAUGGAGACAUUUGUGAGAGACGCUGCGCAAUAUCAUUGCGCCUGCUGCACCCACGUUACGGCAGCAAAGUUCCUUGAUGCGGAUGUAUACAGCGUCUCUAACAAAUGUCUCCAUGGUUGCAAGGCACGUUCCCCUAUGAAAAACUUAAAGUGCUGGGAUACGUUCCUCUUUUGCUACUGGGGAAGUGUUCAAAGGCCCAUAGGUGGACAGCGGAGGUCCAGUGUCCCUUUGAGUUCCCACCUGAGGGACAUAAGGUGAUGGAAAAAAUGCUCAUACUCUUUGAGCAUAUUUUACAAGGUUUUGGUCCAGAAAAAGAACAAGAGGUCACAGAAGCAAAUCAGCUGUCAACAUGGCAGCCAAAAGAAAGCAG